rnacentral:rRNA from 1 species
UACAGAGGGUGCGAGCGUUAAUCGGAAUUACUGGGCGUAAAGCGCACGUAGGUGGCGACGUAAGUCGGGUGUGAAAGCCCCGGGCUCAACCUGGGAAUUGCAUUCGAGACUGCAUUGCUGGAGUACGGAAGAGGAGGGCGGAAUUCCCGGUGUAGCGGUGAAAUGCGUAGAUAUCGGAAGGAACAUCAGUGGCGAAAGCGGCUUCCUGGACCAGCACCGACGUUCAGGCACGAAAGCGUGGGGAGCAAACAGG